CCUACGGGAGGCAGCAGUGAGGGAUAUUGCGCAAUGGGCGAAAGCCUGACGCAGCGACGCCGCGUGGGCGAGGAAGGCCUUCGGGUUGUAAAGCCCUUUUGCAGGGGAAAAUGAUGAUGGUACCCUGCGAAUAAGCCACGGCUAACUCUGUGCCAGCAGCCGCGGUAAGACAGAGGUGGCGAGCGUUGUUCGGAAUUACUGGGCUUAAAGGGCGCGUAGGCGGUGGCGUAAGUCUGGGGUGGAAUUCCACGGCUUAACCGUGGGGCUGCCUUGGAGACGGCGUUGCUUGAGUCAGUGAGGGGAGGGCGAAAUUCCCGGUGUAGCGGUGAAAUGCGUAGAUAUCGGGAGGAAGGCCGGUGGCGAAGGCGGCCCUCUGGCGCUUGACUGACGCUGAGGCGAGAAAGCGUGGGGAGCAAACAGGAUUAGAUCCCCGGGUAGU
rnacentral:rRNA from 1 species